GGGGCUCCUUGUUACUGCUGCGCACGCGCAGAGAUGGGCGGUCCCGCUCCCCACAUGGUCUCCAGGGAGACCAGAAGUGAGGCCGCCUUGCUGGCGGGCAGAGAUGACGUCCCGGCCCUGGCAUCACCGCAGCCAGGCGUGUUGAGGUGCCUCAUCCUGGUCUCCUGAGGAUAGAAAUCCAUGCUUUCCACCCAGCCUUUGAUGGAUGGCAGGAGUGAAGGAGGCGGUCAACGUUUUUUCUGUGGAGCUUGACUGGAGGACGUAGCUGAGACUCACAAUCGAGCGACCAGCCAAAGCCAAAGCUAGUUCUCCCAUGUACUGUCUGUGCUGUGGCCUGGCUCCUUCCACUCUCACUUUGUGUAAGACUGUGGCUGUUUUGUGGCAGGAGAUUUGCUAAGACAUUUACAAGGGGUGUAAAGCCAAGCUGGCCAUCCUGUAGCCAUGAUAUAUCCCUAGAACCACUGUUUUUUUCUUUUGAAUUUUAUUGUGGUAACAUCUAUAUACUAUAAAAAUUGCCAUUUUACCCAUUUUUAAGUGUACAAUUCAGUGGCAUUAAUUACAUUCACAAUGUUCUGCAACCAUCACCAAAGCUUUUGCAUCACUACAAGCAGAAACUCUGUACCCAUGAAGCAAUAACUCUCCUAUUCCCCUCUACCUGGCCCCUGGUAAUAUCUAAUCUACUUUGU